UGCGAGUCAUUGUAGCAAUACAAGGCAGACGGCUCAGUAACGCGUAGUCAAUCUACCCUAUGGACGGGAAUAACCUCGGGAAACUGAGAAUAAUGCCCGACAGAACAUUAUACCUGGAACGGUUUAUGUUUCAAAUGAUUUAUCGCCGUAGGAUGGGACUGCGGCCUAUCAGUUUGUUGGUGAGGUAAUGGCCCACCAAGACUAUUACAGGUACGGGCUCUGAGAGGAGUAGCCCGGAGAUGGGUACUGAGACACGGACCCAGGCCCUAUGGGGCGCAGCAGGCGAGAAAACUUUGCAAUGUGCGAAAGCACGACAAGGUUAAUCCGAGUGGUUUCUGCUAAAGAAACCUUUUGCUAGUCCUAGAAACACUAGUGAAUAAGGGGUGGGCAAGUUCUGGUGUCAGCCGCCGCGGUAAAACCAGCACCUCAAGUGGUCAGGAUGAUUAUUGGGCCUAAAGCAUCCGUAGCUCGUUUUGUAAGUUUUCGGUUAAAUCCAUACGCUUAACGUAUGGGCUGCCGGGAAUACUGCAUAACUAGGAAGUGGGAGAGGUAGACGGUACUCGGUAGGAAGGGGUAAAAUCCUUUGAUCUAUUGAUGACCACCUGUGGCGAAGGCGGUCUACCAGAACACGUUCGACGGUGAGGGAUGAAAGCUGGGGGAGCAAACCGGAUUGGAUACCCGGGUAGUCCCAGCUGUAAACUAUGCAAACUCAGUGAUGCAUUGGCUUGUGGCCAAUGCAGUGCUGCAGGGAAGCCGUUAAGUUUGCCGCCUGGGAAGUACGUACGCAAGUAUGAAACUUAAAGGAAUUGGCGGGGGAGCACCACAAGGGGUGAAGCCUGCGGU
rnacentral:rRNA from 1 species